rnacentral:tRNA from 1 species
ACUUGAGUAGCUUAUAUUUAGAGCGCGACACUGAAGAUGUCGAUGAGGUAUUUUAUUACCUUCAAGUA